GAUUGUAGUUAACGACCUCGGCUUUAUUCUCUCAGCAUUAUUUUCAAGGACAAGAAUGUUUCCCUGAAGGAAUGAGUUUGACUCGGCUAAUUUAAUCUUUUUUUUUUCACGUAUGCUAAUUUCCGAAGAGGGCGUCCCCCGGAAGGUCCGAAACACUAAACGAGACUUGUUCUUGAUUUGACUUCAGACACCGAAAAAAAAACACUCACUAUAUUGUGACUUUCUCUAUACGCGGAACAAUGCGUGCGCCUAACUCAAGCAAC